rnacentral:lncRNA from 1 species
GAAACUCAUGUCUGUAAUGAAAGCCGGAGCCUAAAGACAGUCAAAUUAGAAAUUAAUUGCCACAUACAGAGCAACAAGUGUUUUGGUUGAACAUUUACAGGUCUGAUUGUACUAUCUAGUUCAGUUUCCUUUAUCUCUACAUAAUUAAAGUAUUUGAACAAGUACUUCAAAUUUGAAACAGUAAUAAGAAACCGAAAAUAUGAGCCUCAUGAAGCUGCAUUAGCUGCCCUUUGGUCGGAAUUCAAAGCCUUCAACACCGGGUCCAGUCUUAAGAUUCUCACUGUUUUCUGUCAUAGUGAUCUCCAAAUUCAUCUCCUCCCCUCCUCUGUUGAAGUAUUCUCCUAAUCUAACUUCAAACCUGUCAUCUUUUCUCUGUUGCGGAUAUUGGAGAUCAUCAUCCCCUUCUGACCUCAUCUUAUGCGGGUUCAAACAAGAAUUCGCCAGUUGGCAGCCCCUGUUCCAGCUGGUAAUAUAUCCUACCACCAUUUACCCCAGGUCCCCAGUUAGCAUGCUAAUUAGUCUUAUACAUGUAUAUCUUUGUCAUCUUUGCAGGAGCUUCUUCAGGAAACAUUACGAAUAUUGGAAUGUGGUACUAUGGAGGAUUGGUUGGAGCAGCUAACAAUAAUCAUAUCGGAACUUCUAGUUCUGCUCCCUUUGAUAAUUCUUACUCUAACCAGGCAUUUAAUAACGGCUGGCAGGAAAUCAGUAAUCUUUUCUUUGGUCACAACACUAAUGGUGGUCAGCUAAGUAAUGUAUGAUAAAUAUUCAAUUUCUAGCUAUACAUACUUUCAUAUUUUAUUAUUUUAAUGUUUAAUUCUCUUGCAUCGGACUUUUAUUUUAAAUGGUGUAGCUGGGAAUUAGAGGGUCGGAGUUUGUCACAUUUGCUGGAAUGAUAUAUAUGAUCUUUAUGUGUGUGCAGCAACUUGGUGUUGGUGUUGCACAAUUGACUGAUCAAAGCCUUUUCAUUGGUGCUGGUGCUGCACAAUUGACUGCUCAAAACCUUUUCAAUGGUGCGGGUACUGCACAAUUGACUGAUCAGAACCUUUUCACUGGUGUGGGUGCUGCACAACCGACUGAUCAAAACGUUUUCAGUGAACAGAACAUCAAUGGUGGUCAGGUAACUAAAGUAAGAUCAUAUACUUUCAAGUAUAUGUACUUUCAGACAUAUUAUUCUCUAUAAUUGGAGCAUUUUUUAAUUUUUAAACUUGGUCAGGUAACUAAAGUAUGAUCUAAAUUGUGUCCAUCAGGUCACUUACAUAGUUAUAACUUAUAAGCCUAUAUAUUCGGUUUUAAAGAAUUAUGCAUCCAGUGGUUUAAAUUAGAGUGUUGAAGUUUGUCACAUAUUGUUGUGCUGAUAUAAAUGAUGUUUAUGUGUGUGCAGCAACUUGUUGCUGGACAAAGUAGUGCUCAGAAAAGCUGGUUUGAUGACGAUGAAGCAUUCUUACCUGAUAACUUUCUGUUAGAUCUAUUCCCGGUAUGCAUACAUUCUACUCAUCAAUCUAGCUCCUCUCUCAUUUGACUGCUUUAGUUGAUGAGGAAACGAUGUCUUUUGAUUAUUAAUUUAGGGAGAAGAUGAAGAUCUCUUUUUGGGGGAUAUGAUGAACCUUGUUGCAGCUGAGGACAAUGAUGUUCGUGUAGCCGAUGCCAAGGAUGCUGAAAACUCUGGAGACCAUGACAAGGAUGAUGAGAAUUCCGGAGACAACAGGGAUGUUGGUCUAGCUGAUUACAAGGAUGCUGGAAACUCUGAAGCCACUGACAAGGAUGGUCAGAACUCCGGAAAUUGUUGAAUGGUGAUUGAUACCGUGCUAAGCUACACAUAUGAAAAAUCAACGUAAAACUGCAUUCCAAGCAUGGUGUACUAUUGGCCUAUUUGAAUUUGUUUGAUGAACAACCGUACUAUUUCUGGUUUUUAUUGGGUUGAAAUGGUACCUUAACCUUUUGAUAAGUUACUGAUGUUUUUGAGUUUUUCCCUUUAAAAUCUGUCUUGUUUGGGAAUCAAAUUUAUUAUUCGAAUUUCUCUAGUUUAUAUCUUUUAUCACCCAAAAGAACAAAUUUGUAUAUAUAUUAGUUUUGUUUUUGUGUGAACUACUUGCAUGAUUAUAAUUUUUUUCCAAGGUUCACAUAUCAUAAUUUUCGCUAGUAAUGUUCAAAUAAAAGAGUUGGAAGGAAUGGUCCAAAAUACCAUUUAUUAACGCAGUAUAAUCUAAUAAAAUAUUAUAUGAAAUAACGUUUAGGCUCUCAAACACUAAAUCGUGUAGUGUUAGGAAGGAAAAGAUAAUAAAUUCUACAUGUUAAAUAAGGUUCAAGACGGAUAUAUAACUUUUAUUCUUAAACAGAACGGGGUGUGAUUACGAGAGAGACAAGCGAAUGGGUGAUGAGAAACAUGAUUUAUUCUUCGAGAAAUUGCCUCAAGCAUUUAGACAAAAAUUCACACAAGAUGUAUUAUCACGCACAAGCCCAGCAGAUGUGGUAAGAAUUUCACUUGUGUCGAAAAGUUUCCGGUCGGCGGCCAAUUCUGAUGUUGUUUGGGACACAUUUAUUCCACCUCAUCAUCGAAAACUUGUUCUUGAUCGCCACUACAAUUACACCUUUGAAUCUAGCAAAGACGUCUGUCUCUUCCUCAGUGAUUUUGCCGCUGGGAGCAUUACUGACCCUCUGGUAAUCUUCUUGUUUUUUUUUGUUUAUGACAAUUUGAUUUCUUUUGGUGAUUUAGGUACUCCAAAAGAAUAUCAGAAGAGAGUUAGUUUUUUUUUGUGUAAGUGCUUGUUUGGUUAAGAAUUGGAAGUUAAUUCCAAUGUGAUGAAUCUCCUUAUAUCUCUGACAGAUUUUGGUGGGUAAGAUGAAAACACUCAUAGCAUAACUGGGCACGGACUCGGUAAUGCUUAUAAUUAACUCCUGUUUCCUGGAUUGUGAAAGCAUGUUAGGGCAACUCUAACCGUGAUCCAAAAAUCCAAAUUUGGGGCAGUUUUGUCCCAAACAACGCCAAACGUGGACUAAAAGUGAUACUAUAAAUUUGGACCAUCAUUCAUCGGUAUUCAGUCUUAAAAGAUACUAUAUAUUACAACCUAGAGUAUUUGGCAAUGUCAGAUAUAAUAAUUAAUAAGCUUCCUGGCCCUGCUUCCCUAAUCCCCAUUGUAUUGCACACCUGCAUUUAUACAGCAUGAUAAGAGUUUAUACUAAAGAUUACUAAGACAUGCUCACUUUUUGUCUGGAACCUGUCUAAGAGUUUGUCACAAACUUAAAACAGUAGAACAUAAUGCAAUAAGGCUAGCACUUGCUUGUACUUUCUAAUUAAUGCUGAGAAACCCUCAGCACACAUGAUGAAAAGGUAAGGAGACAGUUUAUUUGCCUAAAUCUUUAUGUAGACAGAAUUGGUCCUAGUUCCUUUCCUCCAUGUGCCAAUAUGUCCCAUGCUUGACACACACUGCCGUAUCGGCUCUACCAGGUCUGGUUAAACCCCAUCUAAAAUCCUAAUAACUGAUACUGCUUUGCUUUUCAUUGCCUAAAUCUUUUCGUAGGCACAAUUUGCCCCAGUUCCUUCCCUCCAUGCGCCACCAUAUAUUCCAUGCUUGACAAACACAAUGCUAUCGGGUCUCCCACUUCUUAUCAAACCCCAUCCAAAAUCCUAAUUAUACUGCAUUAAGAUAACUCCACUCCUCUCUGCUCUUUCAUAUGCUUUACUCCAUAAUCAUCUUUUCCUUAUUAUUUUACUUUCAAAUAGUAUGGCACCUCGAAAUAAUCUUUUUAAUGCACAAACAUCAGCCUAUAUUGAUAACCAUUUAUCUUCCAGCCAAUAUUCAUAACAAUAGUAUGACACUUGAUAUAUCCAUCGGCUACAUUUAUAAAUUGAGUUUAGUAGAUUCAAUCUGGUACCCGAAUGUUAUUGUGAAAUUAAUAUUCAAGAUGUCACGGUGCUUCCUAAAUCUUUUAAGACGUGUAAAGGUUGUCCCUGUGUCAUUACAUUUACUCCCAUAGUGGCAAAAUUCUGAAAGAGUGUAUAUACAAAUAUGCAUGAAUACUGGAUUUCAAAUUCACUUUCAGAUUGAUCACAAUCCUCGUCACUUUCUUCUGACUCACAACUAGGAAUACUCGCGGUAAACAGACGGCUUUGAGCUUGUGACUCCCUAAACUACAGACUUUUGCCUAUGUUUUUACUUGCUUACUUCAUUCUGAAUUGGCUUACUAGAUGAGGUUUGCUAGCAUUAGAGCUGAAAAUUGAGGGUUGAAAAGGCUCUGAAGCAUGUGCAAAGCCUGGUGCUCACUUUAUUCCCGUCAUGAAUAAGCUUGAUCAACUCACUUGAUUUUGCAACUAAUAGCUUUUCUUGAUCUUCGAAUUAUCUGUGUAUGGAUCUUGAUUGUUCCAUCAAUCUUUUGUUACACAUAUACUAUUGCUUCCUAUUGUUUUUUGCCCCUUGUUCCUGAAAGGAUCAGAUCUCUAGUUCUCUUUGGUUUAAAUUUGUCACUGGUAAAAAUUGAUUAAAAGUCUGUCUUUAUUUUAGAUUUUUUUACUUUAAGUUAAUAUUUACUGUUCACCUGGCAGAGGUUUUGGUUAGAUAAAUGGAGUGGGAAGAUGUGCCUCAAAAUGACAUAUGAAAUGCUCUCAAUCACACAUCUUGAAGCAGAUUACUGGACGAGAAGGUGAAAUUUUACUACUCCCUCCGUCCCAAAAUAGUUGUCACAUUUGGUUUUGUGCCGAUCAAAUUGACUAAAGUUUGACUGAAAUUUAUUAAUAUCUUAUCAAUUGACAAAAUAAAAAAAAUAUGUCACCGGAAAUAAUUUUUAAUCUACUUUAAGAUGUAAUUUUCUGUUUUUUAAAAUAAUAAGUGAUUGGCUUAUAAUCUUUGGUCAAAACUUAGUUAAUUUGACCAACAAAAAUAGAAAUGUGACAACUAUUUUGAGACGGAGGGAGUAUCAUUUUGUUUUUGGGCAAUAAUUACCUUUUGUUACUUAGAGAUCUAUAUGCAUGUGUUGUAUGAUAAGUUUUUCAUGUUGUAAUUGUUAAAAACAGCGAAUACCAGUAUCCGGUGCUAGGUCAUGUGAUUUGGCUUGAAGUGUAUGGCAAAAUACCCACUUCAAGAUUGUCACCAGAGACAGCCUAUGAAGCUUAUCUUGUGUUUAGACUCUCGGAAUACGUUUGCUAUGGACUUCACAUACCUAUAUAUAGAGGCUUCUGUUGGGAUCCCAGGGGAAGAAAUCACAAAGGAACUUAUAUAUUUGGACCCUCGAAUAGCCAAGUCCGGGAGCUUUAACCAUUAUCCAAACACAAACCCGGGGGAAGGACAUCCCUUUAUAGAAGUUAAGUUGGGUGAAUACUUUAACAAAGAAGGGGAGAACAGGGAUGUGGAAGUAACUUUGAAAGAAGUGAAAAGUGGAAGGCCAAAGUGCGGUGUCCAUAUUGCUGGGAUGAAGAUGCUACCUAAGCGCAAUAUAAACCUUUAAUAAUUGUGCUCGCUCUUGUUUGGGAUAGAGAUCUGGACGUUAAAAAUUGUUAUCUGUUCAUAUCUUUGACGCUUUGCGUAUGAUGAUGAAGAGCUGUAAUCGUUAGGCAGCUAAUCUUAGCUAAGCAGUACUACUGCAACUCUCAACAUGUUUCCCGUGUUUUAUUCUAAAUUAUUACAAUGAUAGACUUUACUCAUGAAUGCUUUACCAAGAAACAGAACUAUAUGGCCAUACCCUUCAUGAAACUCAUGUCUAUAAUGAAAGCCGGAGCCUAAAGACAGUCAAAUUAGAAAUUAAUUGCCACAUACAUAGCAACAAGUGUUUUGGUUGAACAUUUACAGGUCUGAUUGUACUAUCUAGUUCAGUUUCCUUUAUCUCUAAAUAAUUAGAGUGUUUGAACAAGUACUUCAAAUUUGAAACAGGAAUCAGAAACCAAAAGUAUGAGCCUCCUGAACCUGCAUUAGCUGCCCUUUGGUCG